UACGAAGGGGGCUAGCGUUGCUCGGAAUCACUGGGCGUAAAGCGCACGUAGGCGGCUUCUUAAGUCAGGGGUGAAAUCCUGGAGCUCAACUCCAGAACUGCCCUUGAUACUGAGGAGCUCGAGUCCGGAAGAGGUGAGUGGAACUGCGAGUGUAGAGGUGAAAUUCGUAGAUAUUCGCAAGAACACCAGUGGCGAAGGCGGCUCACUGGUCCGGUACUGACGCUGAGGCGCGAAAGCGUGGGGAGCAAACAGG
rnacentral:rRNA from 1 species